rnacentral:rRNA from 1 species
GUGGGGAAUAUUGGACAAUGGGCGCAAGCCUGAUCCAGCCAUGCCGCGUGAGUGAUGAAGGCCCUAGGGUUGUAAAGCUCUUUCACCGAUGAAGAUAAUGACUGUAGUCGGAGAAGAAGCCCCGGCUAACUUCGUGCCAGCAGCCGCGGUAAUACGAAGGGGGCUAGCGUUGUUCGGAAUUACUGGGCGUAAAGCGCACGUAGGCGGGUAUUUAAGUCAGGGGUGAAAUCCCAGAGCUCAACUCUGGAACUGCCUUUGAUACUGGGUACCUAGAGUAUGGAAGAGGUAAGUGGAAUUCCGAGUGUAGAGGUGAAAUUCGUAGAUAUUCGGAGGAACACCAGUGGCGAAGGCGGCUUACUGGUCCAUUACUGACGCUGAGGUGCGAAAGCGUGGGGAGCAAACAGGAUUAGAUACCCCUGUAGUCC